rnacentral:tRNA from 1 species
GUCUUCGUGGUGUAACGGUAACACACUCGACACGUAUUUGAGAGAUCCAGGUUUGAGUCCCGGGGAGGGCA